rnacentral:rRNA from 1 species
UACCUAUAAGACUGGAUAACUUCGGAACCGGAGCUAAUNACCGGAUAAUAUUUCGAACCGCAUGGUUCGAUAGUGAAAGAUGGUUUUGCUAUCACUUAUAGAUGGACCCGCGCCGUAUUAGCUAGUUGGUAAGGUAACGGCUUACCAAGGCGACGAUACGUAGCCGACCUGAGAGGGUGAUCGGCCACACUGGAACUGAGACACGGUCCAGACUCCUACGGGAGGCAGCAGGC